UUGCGAGGGAUGAUAAAAAUUCUCAAAUGUUCGCAGUUGAGAGUUUAAGUAAUUAAGCUCAAUGAAUAAUCUUUGUAGCCUUCUCUUAGAUGUCUGACGCAAAAA
rfam:Plasmodium malariae genome assembly, contig: contig6719